rnacentral:tRNA from 1 species
UUUUAGUAGUUGAAUAACAACAGCAGUGUUUCAGAUUGCAGGUUUUGGUGUAGCCAAAUUAAAAUA